CAAGGACAGCUUUCUUUCAGAUGAGGCUCAGGUCUGGGCAAAUGUGAUAAGCUGUAUUUUCAUGAACAUCUGCCCGUAAGUGAAAGACUCAUGAACGAUGACCUUCAUUAUUAGCCCAUGAGGAUUUCUUGAUCCAAGGUGACAUCCAGAAUAACUCGAUUCUCGUUUUCCCACAAGAUCACCUGCAUUCAAAGUAAC
rnacentral:lncRNA from 1 species